rnacentral:rRNA from 3 species
CAGGUGCAUGCCUCUAGCAUGAAGUCAGACA